rnacentral:ncRNA from 1 species
CGACGUCUUCAGGGCGGGGUGCGAUUCCCCACCGGCGGUAGGUGCCUUCGGGCACGAGCCCGCGAGCGCUUCCGGUGCCAUCGGAAGGUCAGCAGAUCCGGUCCCAUGCCGGAGCCGACGGUUGGCAGCCAGCGAUGGCUUCCAGAAAGUCCGGAUGAGAGAAGACGGUA